ensembl:lncRNA
UCUGUCCCAGGUGAUAUAUCGUCAGGUGGAAUACAGUAUGAAGCGCAAGAAACGUAUUUAUGUUCAGACUGAGUAUGGCCUGAAGCCCGUUGACGUCGAAGAAACGCUUUCAUACCAUGUGGAAGGAGACGUGGACUUCUUGUGAAGAAACAAAGCGGGGAAGCAGAAAGAAUAAAUCUAAAUCAAACUCAGUUUCUGCUCAGGCUGUUUUUUGUUUGUCAUCAAGUCAUCGACGAAUGCAGUUCUUAUAUUCGGCUAAACAUGAAAAAGGUUUUCUUCGUAAGACGUGCUUAUAAUUGAGGUCUUGGUUGUAAAGGUAGCUUCCUCUUAGCUGGGAUUAUUCCUUUUCUUGCAAACAUUUCUCCUUGUAGUGAGUACAUAAAAGAUUUACUUAAAAUUGCAUCCCGCAUGGGCUUAUUGAGCAAGAACCUGAGAACCAGACUGUAGCAGACUGUAGAAUGCAUUAAGUGCACAAAAUAAUUUCAUUCUAGCUGUGUAACAUCUGAAACAUUGAAGUUGCACAGUCAUGCAACAAAA